rnacentral:rRNA from 1 species
AACGAACGCUGGCGGCGUGCCUAACACAUGCAAGUCGUGCGAGAAAGUUCCUUCGGGAGCGAGUAAAGCGGCGCACGGGUGAGUAACACGUAGGUAACCUGCCCCCCAGUCUGGAACAACUAGAGGAAACUCUAGCUAAUGCCGGAUGAGACCACGAUCCCUUCGGGGGUUGCGGCCAAAGAUGGCCUCUACUUGUAAGCUAUCGCUGAGGGAUGGGCCUGCGGGCCAUUAGCUUGUUGGUGAGGUAACGGCUCACCAAGGCUGUGAUGGCUAGCUGGUCUGAGAGGAUGACCAGCCACACUGGACUGAGACACGGCCCAGACUCCGUACGGGAGGCAGCGAGGGGGAAUAUUGCGCAAGUGGGACGAAAGACCUGACGCAGCGACGCCGCGUGGGUGAUGGAA